rnacentral:rRNA from 1 species
GACAGAGGGUGCAAACGUUGCUCGGAAUUACUGGGCGUAAAGCGCGUGUAGGCGGGUCGAUAAGUCAGGCGUGAAAUCCCUGGGCUCAACCCAGGAACUGCGUUUGAAACUGCCGAUCUUGAGUAGUGGAGAGGGAAGUGGAAUUCCUGGUGUAGAGGUGAAAUUCGUAGAUAUCAGGAGGAACACCGGUGGCGAAGGCGGCUUCCUGGACACUUACUGACGCUGAGACGCGAAAGCGUGGGGAGCAAACAGG